UAAAGCUUUGAACGGUGUGGGUCCUUCUACAAAACUGGGAUCGAAUAAGUGACGUAGGCCUAUGCUCUGUCGUGUUGCGUUGUGUUACGAACUACAAGUUGCAUAACAAGUGUGGUAGCAUGAACUAUAAGAUUUGAACAAGACGGUUCCAAGAUGGCCGCCAGCAUACACAGCGAGCUAUUCGAUCACAAACCAUCAACCACUGUGACAUCAUUCGUGACUGCCCUGACUCUUAGACCGACUGUCUCUGAAGGAAUUUUCAGGUAUAUCACUCUCAUCAAUAUCCAGAUUCAUCUCCUUCGGGAAGAAGAAGAAUGGUAAUGAGAUCAGA